UCCGUAGGUGAACCUGCGGAAGGAUCAUUAACAAAUCUGCUAUAUGGCGAGCUUGCUCGUGCAUAUAUAUUUACCCCGAGCCUGGCAGCAAUGCCGGCUUUGGUUGGGUGGGGCGCAAGCCCUGCUCCGGUUGUGCGGCGUUAACGCGUUGCCAACCACAUAGACGCUUGUAUGUUUGACAGAGUUACAGUUGUAAAACUAAAAUGACAACUUUUAACAAUGGAUCUCUUGGCUCUUGCAACGAUGAAGAACGCAGUGAAAUGCGAAAAGUAAUGCGAUUUGCACGAAUCUGUGAGUCAUCAAGUCUUUGAACGCACCUUGCACCGUAUGAGCAAUCGUACGGUAUACCUGUUUGAGAAUCGUAAAACUCUCUUUCUACUACUAGUUAGUGGAAGAUUUGUCGGUUGUGCAUCACUGCACUCUGAUUAAAAGGAUCAAGUUUGAAUCGGGCUGGUGGCCUGGGACAUUGUGUGCUAGAGACGUCGCUUCGGCUGACUGUCUUCUCACAAUGGCGGUCCUUGGGGGCUACUUAAAGGCUGGGUCUGGGUUU
rnacentral:rRNA from 1 species